CGUCUCAGUUCAGAUUGCAGGCUGCAACUCGCCUGCAUGAAGUCGGAAUUGCUAGUAAUCGCAGAUCAGCAUGCUGCGGUGAAUACGUUCCCGGGCCUUGUACAUACCGCCCGUCACACCAUGGGAGUCGGUAACACCCGAAGUCGGUAGCCUAACCGUAAGGAGGGCGCCGCCGAAGGUGGGAUUGAUGACUGGGGUGAAGUCGUAACAAGGUACC
rnacentral:rRNA from 1 species